rnacentral:rRNA from 1 species
AAACUAGGAUUAGAUACCCUAUUAUUAAGAGCUUUACAUUGUGAGUAAAUAAAAAUUAUGAAAGCAAAAAACUAUGGCGGUAUCUUAAGCUUUUCAGAUGAAUUUGCUCUUUAAUGGAUAAAACACCUUAACCUUACUUAAAUUUGUUAAUACAGUUUGUAUACCACUAUUAAAAUAAUAAUGCAAUUAUUAUUAAAAUUCAAUUUUUGAAAAAAAUUAAGUCAUGGUGCAGCAUAAGUUUAAGAAUGAAGUGAAUUACAUUACUUAAAAGGAGGGUAAAAGUUUAAAAAAAAAGUUUAGGAUUUGAAAGUAAAAUUAAAAUAGAAAGUUAAUUUGAAUUAAGCUCUAAGAUAUGUACAUAUCGCCCGUUCACUCUUCACCAAGAUAAGUCGUAACAUAGUA